rnacentral:rRNA from 1 species
GACGAACGCUGGCGGCGUGCUUAACACACGCAAGUCGAACGAUGAAACCUAGCUUGCUAGGUCGAUUAGUGGCGAACGGGUGAGUAACACGUGACUAACCUGCCCCUUUCUCUGGGAUAACGCUCCGAAAGGAGUGCUAAUACCGGAUACUCACAUCGAGGCACAUGCCUUGGUGUGGAAAGUUUUUCGGAAAGGGAUGGAGUCGCGGCCUAUCAGCUUGUUGGUGAGGUAACGGCUCACCAAGGCGACGACGGGUAGCCGGCCUGAGAGGGCGACCGGCCACACUGGGACUGAGACACGGCCCAGACUCCUACGGGAGGCAGCAGUGGGGAAUAUUGCACAAUGGGCGCAAGCCUGAUGCAGCGACGCCGCGUGAGGGAUGAAGGUCUUCGGAUUGUAAACCUCUUUCAGUAGGGACGAAGCGAAAGUGACGGUACCUCAGGAGAAAGCAUCGGCAAACCCUGUGCCAGCCGCCGCCGUAA